ensembl:lncRNA novel transcript
ACAUUCUGAUGUGGUGUAGUAUAUCAGCAUUUUCCAUGAAACCUCGUCUCCGGCCUUCCCCUUUUAGGAAACAAAGGACCCGUGACAGAGCCUACUUAUCCCGUUACAGCUCCUGGUGAGAAGGGCGAAGCCAUGUCAGAAAUAAUAGAAAAGGCUUUUUCCUUUGAAAUAUCUAAACGUUCAAAGAUGGGAACAGCCGCAGGGGGGAGAAUACUGUGCUAUGCAAGUUGAUCUGAUUUUGUGGACCAUCCAUUUCCAAUUGGGAAGCUCACUUACUUUCAACUUGAAGCAUCAGAAAACCAGACUUACAGCAGCUUCAGCCUAUAGGGGUUUAUUUUUCUCAUGUAACAAGAAGAACAGAAGUGGACAGAGGCCGAGUUCUCAAGGACUCAGUUUCUUUCUGUCCCACCAACCUUACCAUGUUGGAUUGUCAUCUUUGUGCUUGUUGCCUCAUGAUGGCAAGAUGGCUGCAGCACCUCUGGGACUCACGACUGAUUUUUAAGCUCAAUCAUCCGGCCUUGUGAGAGACGCCCACAUGCUGAAGAGCCUUUCUGCAGUUCUGCAUUGAACUCUUCAUGUGGCCCCAUCUAGUAAUGAGUGCGAGUGGGAGACAGUGGAAUCUGUAGGAGGUUCCAGACCCAGCGACGACCAAGCCUGGGUGGUUCUGACACCAAGAACAAAACGCCUGCAAGAUCCACACUGGGAACUCAACCAAGAAGAAAGAAAAGAACAAACAAGAUCAAUUUCUUCCCCACAGGAGCCAGAAUUUUCCUAAGUCUCUACGAAUGUUCAGAGACAUCUUUAUCUCUUGCAGGAACUCUACCUCCUCUCCUGUCUCACCUCCUCCUGAAAAAAGAGACAAAGUCCCACUCCCAUCAAAACACCUCUGAGGUGUCAGCUUCAAAUGAUUUAUGAAUUACUUCUCCCAGCCUGGGUUAGCUUCAAAACUGGGAAUGGGUCAGGGUGUCAGCAUGGGAAGAACCUUUAAGAAUGUCAGGCUUUUAGAGCCUCAAAGCCACAAAUCUCUCAAAUGGUGCCCUCUCCAACCCUGGGCACUAGGUCCGAUGAGCAGGGGAUGGAGGCAUAUUUGGACAGGGGCCUGCAUCUGAGACCAGCCCCUGAUACCAAACCAAAUGUGUCUCUUGUAUUUUUAACUGCAAGCUCCCACCACCCUGAGUGAGUUUUUCCCAAAGCAGUGGUGUCACAAGCAGCCAUUCAGUUGGCCUUUGCAGUCAUGCUGACCCAGGGGUACUUGGUCUUCAUCGGAUUCUCAGUCUAAGCAUCAAUCCUCUGACAGAGGGACCUACCCCAGGCACUUCCAGCUCAGCAGAAAGCACCCUGAGCUAAUAAAGGAAGAUAUAAUUUAGAGGUCAUGCCCCAAAGCCAGCUAUUUCUGACUGCAGAUCCAGCUCCAACUAAAGCCAAGCCAAAAAUUAACAUUAUUUUGCAUUUUAAACAACUUACUAGUCUUUCAAAGGGUACUGAUUGGUGAACAGCAAUUUACAAUGAAGUAAUCAGUUGCAAACUACCAAUAA